rnacentral:tRNA from 1 species
AGGCCCGUAGCUCUAAUGGCAGAGCACUGGUCUCCAAAACCAGGUGCUGUGGGUUCGAAUCCCACCGGGCCUGCCA